CCAAGGAGUCUAACAUGUGCGCGAGUCGUAGGGUGAGACUAAACCCGAAGGCGCAAUGAAAGUGAAGGCCGUUCUCUUUAGACGGCAUCGAGGGGAGAUCCCCCGUUCCUCUCUCGAGGCGGGGGCGCAUCCCCGGGACGUCUCGUCUCGCAAGUCUUCGGACCGAGUGAGGCGUACCUAGAGCGCACACGUUGGGACCCGAAAGAUGGUGAACUAUGCCUGGCUAGGACGAAGCCAGGGGAAACCCUGGUGGAGGUCCGAAGCGAUUCUGACGUGCAAAUCGAUCGUCAAAACUGGGUAUAGGGGCGAAAGACUAAUCGAACCAUCUA
rnacentral:rRNA from 1 species